rnacentral:rRNA from 1 species
UGGGGAAUUUUGCGCAAUGGGCGAAAGCCUGACGCAGUAACGCCGCGUGGAGGAUGAAGGCUCUCGGGUUGUAAACUCCUGCCUGGGGGAAAGAUUAUGACGGUACCCCCAAAGAAAGCCCCGGCUAAUUCCGUGCCAGCAGCCGCGGUAAUACGGAAGGGGCAAGCGUUGUUCGGAAUCAUUGGGCGUAAAGGGCGCGCAGGCGGUUUCAUAUGUCCGCUGUGAAAGCACACGGCUCAACCGUGUUAAGCCGCGGAAACUGUGAAACUUGAGGCUGGGAGGGGCUGGUGGAAUUCCCUGUGUAGCGGUGAAAUGCGUAGAGAUGGGGGAGAACACUCGUGGCGAAGGCGGCCAGCUGGACCAGUUCUGACGCUGAGGCGCGAAAGCGUGGGGAGCAAACAGGAUUAGAUACCCCCGUAGUCC